AAUUAGGGGUGAGCAAAAUUUGAUUCGAUUCGAAAAAAUCGAAAAAAAAUUCGAAUUUCGAAUUAUUCGAAUCGAGUUAAUCGAAUCAUCUCGAAUUUUUUUUCGAAUUUCGAGUUCUAGUAGAGUUGAAUUUUCGAAUUCGAAUAACUCGAAUAAUUCAAAUAAACCGAAUAUAAACUAUAUUUUUUUAUUUUUAAAAUACACUACAUAUAUUUUUUUUAUUUCUAAAAUACACUAAUAGUAAUUCAGUGCAAUUUACCAUUCCCAUUUCCCCUCUUCCACGUUCCACCGAUCAAAAUCCCCAAGCCCGUGCCCUCCUCCCUUUUUUUCCCAAUUCGAAAAUCAACCUUCACCUCCACCGAUCCACCUCCGAUCCUCCACGGCUCCACCCAAUUCCAGAAUCAGAGGUUAGAGCGGUGCUUCUAGGUCUUCUACCUUUGAAUUUCAAAGUUUCAGUAAGGAUGGAAUUCAGAGGAAGAUCCAAGGGUAGAAGGGUCCUAGUGGGAUGACACAGGAUGAAACCGAUUGUGCAUUCCAAAGGCAAGGGGAGUGAUCUCCCAACUUUUAAUCACUUUUUACUAGCUAAGUAGGUAUAUCGUAUUUUGGUUGGUAUUCAGAUUGAUGUUUCAUGUUAUUUUGGCAGUAAUCUUAUGUUUGUGGUGCCUUUGGUUUUUUUAACCAACUUAAUACCAGCUUCUUGUAGGGAGAUUGUUGUGAAUUUGCUUCGCAUGGCUAUAUGGAAUCUUUUAGAAUUGUACUCAUUUUUUGGAAGAUUUGAUCCAUCCUAAAUUAAUUUUACCAUGCAAAUGAUAUGGUGCAAGGAUUUUGUUCUUCUGGUAUUAAUUUUGGUGUUGUUUCCACGGCAACAAGGUGGUACAAACCUUAGUCGAGUAUGGUCAAAUUAAACUUUGAUGUGUGCAUUGAUCGGUUAAAUGAGAAAGCUGGGUUUGGGGCUGUACUACACGGCGAUGUAGGGGACUUUUUAGCAGUCAAGACUUGCUCAAUUUUUAGCAUUUCUGGAGGCUAAAUUCAUUCUUCUAGGUGUGCAAUGGUUAAGAGAGUUACACAGGUUCUAAAGGUUGAUCAUAUAGUAUGCUUGGAACUUUUGAUUUCAUAUAUUAAUUCUCUUAGUUUAGAGUUUGAAUUUGUUAAGUAUAAUCAUAUUUUGAUAUCAAAAAAUCAACUCGUUCAUUAUAUAUUUUUGAAGAGAUUCUAUUCUCGUUUCUUUGUUUUUUUCUUUUCUUUUAUCAGUUUCUAUGUAUACAUAGAUCAAAAAGUAUAGCAGUAUAUAUAGAUCUUAAUGGUGAGAAUAUGGGUUUCAUUGUGGAUUCUCAAGGUAUGCUGAAAGUCUCUGAACUCUGUUGUCAAGCCAAAGGAAUUGCAAUUCAGUCAUGGUAAAGUAACUGAAAGUGAUAAUAAUUUUGAAAUUUUCUCUUUGAUUUUUAAUUUUUAUUAAAUACACUAUUUUAUGAUACACGCAUAGCUAAAAUUACAUGAAAGAGAUGAGUUAGUUGAACAAUAAUGUUGUUCUUUGAUUUUAGUUUAGGAUAAUACGUAGUGUCUCUUGUGACAUAUGUCUACUUGCAUUAAGACCGGUUGAUCGUUACUCUUUUUUCUCUCUCAUCUGUUUUAUUUUUGUAGGGUGUUGAUUUUGUUGGUCUUCAGCACUUGGUUCAUCUGUCUUUAAGAAGUUGUAUAUUGUUUAUGUGCUACUUGACUGCCUAAAUGAGGUAGAAGUAUAGGACUUUAAAGUAUUAUGAUGUGGUUUAGACUUGUAAUGCUUGAGAUGUUUGUUAUUGUUGUUGGUUAAUUGGACUUCUGUUGUGUUCUUUUGGUGUAGGUUUCUAUUGUAUUUUGGACUUUUGCUUAUGUUUUUUUUUUAUUAUAAUAAUGUUGUUUAUUUCGACUCA